AAUGGGUCAGCGACUUAUAUUCUGUAGCAAGGUUAACCGAAUAGGGGAGCCGAAGGGAAACCGAGUCUUAACUGGGCGUUAAGUUGCAGGGUAUAGACCCGAAACCCGGUGAUCUAGCCAUGGGCAGGUUGAAGGUUGGGUAACACUAACUGGAGGACCGAACCGACUAAUGUUGAAAAAUUAGCGGAUGACUUGUGGCUGGGGGUGAAAGGCCAAUCAAACCGGGAGAUAGCUGGUUCUCCCCGAAAGCUAUUUAGGUAGCGCCUCGUGAAUUCAUCUCCGGGGGUAGAGCACUGUUUCGGCAAGGGGGUCAUCCCGACUUACCAACCCGAUGCAAACUGCGAAUACCGGAGAAUGUUAUCACGGGAGACACACGGCGGGUGCUAACGUCCGUCGUGAAGAGGGAAACAACCCAGACCGCCAGCUAAGGUCCCAAAGUCAUGGUUAAGUGGGAAACGAUGUGGGAAGGCCCAGACAGCCAGGAUGUUGGCUUAGAAGCAGCCAUCAUUUAAAGAAAGCGUAAUAGCUCACUGGUCGAGUCGGCCUGCGCGGAAGAUGUAACGGGGCUAAACCAUGCACCGAAGCUGCGGCAGCGACGCUUAUGCGUUGUUGGGUAGGGGAGCGUUCUGUAAGCCUGCGAAGGUGUACUGUGAGGUAUGCUGGAGGUAUCAGAAGUGCGAAUGCUGACAUAAGUAACGAUAAAGCGG
rnacentral:rRNA from 1 species